CCCCCACCCGCUUCCAGCCGAGGCUCGGUUCUCCCGCCUCCGCCUCUGCCGCGCUCGUGGUUGUCCUGCCAUGGCACUGUCGCGGGGCCUGCCCCGGGAGCUGGCUGAGGCGGUGGCCGGGGGCCGAGUGCUGGUGGUGGGCGCGGGCGGCAUUGGCUGCGAGCUCCUCAAGAACCUCGUGCUCACCGGCUUCUCCCACAUCGACCUGAUUGAUCUGGAUACUAUUGAUGUCAGCAACCUCAACAGACAGUUUUUGUUUCAAAAGAAACAUGUUGGAAGAUCAAAGGCACAGGUUGCCAAGGAAAGUGUACUGCAGUUUUACCCGAAAGCUAAUAUCGUUGCCUACCAUGACAGCAUCAUGAACCCUGACUAUAAUGUGGAAUUUUUUCGGCAGUUUAUAUUGGUUAUGAAUGCUUUAGAUAACAGAGCUGCUCGAAACCAUGUUAAUAGAAUGUGCCUGGCAGCUGAUGUUCCUCUUAUUGAAAGUGGAACUGCUGGGUAUCUUGGACAAGUAACUACUAUCAAAAAGGGUGUGACUGAGUGUUAUGAAUGUCAUCCUAAGCCAACCCAGAGAACCUUUCCUGGCUGUACAAUUCGUAACACACCUUCAGAACCUAUACAUUGCAUCGUUUGGGCAAAGUACUUGUUCAACCAGUUGUUUGGGGAAGAAGAUGCUGAUCAAGAAGUAUCUCCUGACAGAGCUGAUCCUGAAGCUGCCUGGGAACCAACAGAAGCUGAAGCCAGAGCUAGAGCAUCUAAUGAAGAUGGUGACAUUAAACGUAUUUCCACUAAGGAAUGGGCUAAAUCAACUGGAUAUGAUCCAGUUAAACUUUUUACCAAGCUUUUUAAAGAUGACAUCAGGUAUCUGUUGACAAUGGACAAACUAUGGCGGAAAAGGAAACCUCCAGUUCCGUUGGACUGGGCUGAAGUACAAAGUCAAGGAGAGGAAACGAAUGCACCAGAUCAACAGAAUGAACCCCAGUUAGGCCUGAAAGACCAGCAGGUUCUAGAUGUAAAGAGCUAUGCACGUCUAUUUUCAAAGAGCAUUGAGACUUUGAGAGUUCAUUUAGCAGAAAAGGGGGAUGGAGCUGAGCUCAUAUGGGAUAAGGAUGACCCAUCUGCAAUGGAUUUUGUCACCUCUGCUGCAAACCUCAGGAUGCAUAUUUUCAGUAUGAAUAUGAAGAGUAGAUUUGAUAUCAAAUCAAUGGCAGGAAACAUUAUUCCUGCUAUUGCUACUACUAAUGCAGUGAUUGCUGGGUUGAUAGUAUUGGAAGGAUUGAAGAUUUUAUCAGGAAAAAUAGACCAGUGCAGAACAAUUUUUUUGAAUAAACAACCAAAUCCAAGAAAGAAGCUUCUUGUCCCUUGUGCACUGGAUCCUCCUAACCCCAAUUGUUACGUAUGUGCUAGCAAGCCAGAGGUGACUGUGCAGCUGAAUGUCCAGAAAGUGACUGUUCUCACCUUACAAGACAAGAUAGUGAAAGAAAAGUUUGCAAUGGUAGCACCAGAUGUCCAAAUUGAAGAUGGGAAAGGAACAAUCCUAAUAUCUUCCGAAGAGGGAGAGACAGAAGCUAAUAAUCACAAGAAGUUGUCAGAAUUUGGAAUUAGAAAUGGCAGCCGGCUUCAAGCAGAUGACUUCCUCCAGGACUAUACCUUAUUGAUCAACAUCCUUCAUAAUGAAGACCUAGGAAAGGAUGUUGAAUUUGAAGUUGUUGGUGAUGCCCCGGAAAAAGUGGGGCCCAAACAAGCUGAAGAUGCUGCCAAAAGCAUAACCAAUGGCAGUGAUGAUGGAGCUCAGCCUUCCACCUCCACAGCUCAAGAGCAAGAUGAUGUUCUCAUAGUUGAUUCGGAUGAAGAUUCUUCAAAUAAUACUGACGUCAGUGAAGAAGAGAGAAGCCGCAAGAGGAAAUUAGAUGAGAAGGAGAAUCUCAGUGCAAGGAGGUCACGUAUAGAACAGAAGGAAGAGCUUGAUGAUGUCAUAGCAUUAGAUUGAACAGAAAUGCCUCUAAACAGAACCCUCUUACUACUUAGUUUAUCUGGCAGAACCAGAUUAUUUGUUAUGUCCUUUGUUCCAAAGGGAAAAAGUUGACACCAGUGACUUGAAAAUUAUUCUGCUCCCUUUGAAAGCAUUCAUUUUGCUAAAGCUGUUAGACACAUUGCAGUAUUGCUGUAUUGAAAGUAGGAAUAUAGUUUUUAAAACCCUUUGAACAAAGUGUGUGCAUAACCAGUCAUGAGAUAAAACAACACAGUGCAUGUUGCCUUUUUAAUGUAAAUACCCUUAGGUAUCAUUAGUUUCAAAAUAUUGUGGUUUAGUAAAGUUGAUACCUGGUUAUAAAUAUUAUGCCUUUAUUUUUGGCUAGAAGAAGAAUUAUUUUUAGCCUAGAUCUAACCAUUUUCAUACUCUUAACUGACUGAAACAGAUUCAAAGAAGUAUCAAGUGCUAUGCAUUGAAACUUGUUUUUAAAUGUUAAAUGGCACUGUGUAUAUUAAUGUAAAACAAUGUUAAUUUACUCAAGUUUUCAGUUUGUACUGCCUGGUAUGUCUGUGUAAGAAGCCAAUUUUUGUGUAUUGUUACAGUUUCAGGUUAUUUAUAUUCAAUGUUUUGUAAAACUCAAAUAACGACUAUACUUAUGGACCAAAUAAAUGGCAUCUGCAUUCUUGUUAAAAAAAAAAAAAAAAAAA